GGAUGCGAUCAUACCAGCACUAAAGCGCCGGAUCCCAUCAGAACCUUGAAGUUAAUCGUGCUAGGGUGAGAGUAGUCCCAGGAUGGGUGACCUCGUUGGAAGUCCUUGUGUUGCAUCCC